AGCUUCAGCGCUCGUACAGCGUAGCAUGCAAGUCGAGCGGAUGACGGGAGCUUGCUCCUUGAUUCAGCGGCGGACGGGUGAGUAAUGCCUAGGAAUCUGCCUGGUAGUGGGGGACAACGUUUCGAAAGGAACGCUAAUACCGCAUACGUCCUACGGGAGAAAGCAGGGGACCUUCGGGCCUUGCGCUAUCAGAUGAGCCUAGGUCGGAUUAGCUAGUUGGUGAGGUAAUGGCUCACCAAGGCGACGAUCCGUAACUGGUCUGAGAGGAUGAUCAGUCACACUGGAACUGAGACACGGUCCAGACUCCUACGGGAGGCAGCAGUGGGGAAUAUUGGACAAUGGGCGAAAGCCUGAUCCAGCCAUGCCGCGUGUGUGAAGAAGGUCUUCGGAUUGUAAAGCACUUUAAGUUGGGAGGAAGGGCAGUAAGCUAAUACCUUGCUGUUUUGACGUUACCGACAGAAUAAGCACCGGCUAACUCUGUGCCAGCAGCCGCGGUAAUACAGAGGGUGCAAGCGUUAAUCGGAAUUACUGGGCGUAAAGCGCGCGUAGGUGGUUCGUUAAGUUGGAUGUGAAAGCCCCGGGCUCAACCUGGGAACUGCAUCCAAAACUGGCGAGCUAGAGUACGGUAGAGGGUGGUGGAAUUUCCUGUGUAGCGGUGAAAUGCGUAGAUAUAGGAAGGAACACCAGUGGCGAAGGCGACCACCUGGACUGAUACUGACACUGAGGUGCGAAAGCGUGGGGAGCAAACAGGAUUAGAUACCCUGGUAGUCCACGCCGUAAACGAUGUCACUAGCCGUUGGAUCCUUGAGAUUUUAGUGGCGCAGCUACGCAUUAAGUUGACCGCCUGGGGAGUACGGCCGCAGGUUAAAACUCAAAUGAAUUGACGGGGCCCGCACAGCGGUGGAGCAUGUUGUUUAAUCGAGCACGCGAAGACCUUACCAGGCCUUGACAUGCAAGGACUUUCAGAGAUGGAUG
rnacentral:rRNA from 1 species